rnacentral:rRNA from 1 species
AACGAACGCUGGCGGCAUGCCUAACACAUGCAAGUCGAACGAGACCUUCGGGUCUAGUGGCGCACGGGUGCGUAACGCGUGGGAAUCUGCCCUUGGGUUCGGAAUAACAGUUAGAAAUGACUGCUACUACCGGAUGAUGACUUCGGUCCAAAGAUUUAUCGCCCAGGGAUGAGCCCGCGUAGGAUUAGCUUGUUGGUGAGGUAAAAGCUCACCAAGGCGACGAUCCUUAGCUGGUCUGAGAGGAUGAUCAGCCACACUGGGACUGAGACUCGGCCCAGACUCCUGCGGGAGGCGUCAGUGGGGAAUAUUGGACAAUGGGCGAAAGCCUGAUCCAGCAAUGCCGCUUGAGUGAUGAAGGCCUUAGGGUUGUAAAGCUCUUUUACCCGGGAUGAUAAUGACAGUACCGGGAGAAUAAGCCCCGGCUAACUCCGUGCCAGCCGCCGCGGUAAAAC